rnacentral:lncRNA from 1 species
AUCAUCUAUGUUUACAUCACUGACACCUAUCCCACCAUCUUAACCUUCGAUUCAGAAGAAUUCUCAUAGUUCGGAAGAUGAGCUUCACAGGCCGGCUGAGCUCUGUCUCGUUAUUAUAGGGGAACUGAACAGGCCGAUCCCCAUAAGCAUCCCUCACUGUUCCGUCAUAGGUAGGCAUUCUGAAGAGCAAUGGAACAAGUGAAUGUUGCAAACC